rnacentral:rRNA from 1 species
AGGUCCCAAAAUAUAUGUUAAGUGGAAAAGGAUGUGGCGUUGCCCAGACAACUAGGAUGUUGGCUUAGAAGCAGCCAUCAUUUAAAGAGUGCGUAAUAGCUCACUAGUCGAGUGACACUGCGCCGAAAAUGUACCGGGGCUAAACAUAUUACCGAAGCUGUGGAUUGUCCUUUGGACAAUGGUAGGAGAGCGUUCUAAGGGCGUUGAAGCAUGAUCGUAAGGACAUGUGGAGCGCUUAGAAGUGAGAAUGCCGGUGUGAGUAGCGAAAGACGGGUGAGAAUCCCGUCCACCGAUUGACUAAGGUUUCCAGAGGAAGGCUCGUCCGCUCUGGGUUAGUCGGGUCCUAAGCUGAGGCCGACAGGCGUAGGCGAUGGAUAACAGGUUGAUAUUCCUGUACCACCUAUAAUCGUUUUAAUCGAUGGGGGGACGCAGUAGGAUAGGCGAAGCGUGCGAUUGGAUUGCACGUCUAAGCAGUAAGGCUGAGUAUUAGGCAAAUCCGGUACUCGUUAAGGCUGAGCUGUGAUGGGGAGAAGACAUUGUGUCUUCGAGUCGUUGAUUUCACACUGCCGAGAAAAGCCUCUAGAUAGAAAAUAGGUGCCCGUACCGCAAACCGACACAGGUAGUCAAGAUGAGAAUUCUAAGGUGAGCGAGCGAACUCUCGUUAAGGAACUCGGCAAAAUGACCCCGUAACUUCGGGAGAAGGGGUGCUCUUUAGGGUUAACGCCCAGAAGAGCCGCAGUGAAUAGGCCCAAGCGACUGUUUAUCAAAAACACAGGUCUCUGCUAAACCGUAAGGUGAUGUAUAGGGGCUGACGCCUGCCCGGUGCUGGAAGGUUAAGAGGAGUGGUUAGCUUCUGCGAAGCUACGAAUCGAAGCCCCAGUAAACGGCGGCCGUAACUAUAACGGUCCUAAGGUAGCGAAAUUCCUUGUCGGGUAAGUUCCGACCCGCACGAAAGGCGUAACGAUUUGGGCACUGUCUCAACGAGAGACUCGGUGAAAUCAUAGUACCUGUGAAGAUGCAGGUUACCCGCGACAGGACGGAAAGACCCCGUGGAGCUUUACUGUAGCCUGAUAUUGAAAUUCGGCACAGCUUGUACAGGAUAGGUAGGAGCCUUUGAAACGUGAGCGCUAGCUUACGUGGAGGCGCUGGUGGGAUACUACCCUAGCUGUGUUGGCUUUCUAACCCGCACCACUUAUCGUGGUGGGAGACAGUGUCAGGCGGGCAGUUUGACUGGGGCGGUCGCCUCCUAAAAGGUAACGGAGGCGCUCAAAGGUUCCCUCAGAAUGGUUGGAAAUCAUUCAUAGAGUGUAAAGGCAUAAGGGAGCUUGACUGCGAGACCUACAAGUCGAGCAGGGUCGAAAGACGGACUUAGUGAUCCGGUGGUUCCGCAUGGAAGGGCCAUCGCUCAACGGAUAAAAGCUACCCCGGGGAUAACAGGCUUAUCUCCCCCAAGAGUUCACAUCGACGGGGAGGUUUGGCACCUCGAUGUCGGCUCAUCGCAUCCUGGGGCUGUAGUCGGUCCCAAGGGUUGGGCUGUUCGCCCAUUAAAGCGGUACGCGAGCUGGGUUCAGAACGUCGUGAGACAGUUCGGUCCCUAUCCGUCGUGGGCGUAGGAAAUUUGAGAGGAGCUGUCCUUAGUACGAGAGGACCGGGAUGGACAUACCUCUGGUGUACCAGUUGUCGUGCCAACGGCAUAGCUGGGUAGCUAUGUGUGGACGGGAUAAGUGCUGAAAGCAUCUAAGCAUGAAGCCCCCCUCAAGAUGAGAUUUCCCAACUUCGGUUAUAAGAUCCCUCAAAGAUGAUGAGGUUAAUAGGUUCGAGGUGGAAGCAUGGUGACAUGUGGAGCUGACGAAUACUAAUCGAUCGAAGACUUAAUCAA